CGAGACCUCAGGUCAGGCGGGGCUACCCGCUGAAUUUAAGCAUAUCAAUAGGCGGAGGAAAA
rnacentral:rRNA from 1 species